CCUACGGGAGGCAGCAGUCGAGAAUUUUUCUCAAUGGGCGAAAGCCUGAAGGAGCGACGCCGCGUGGGGGAUGAAUGGCUUCGGCCCGUAAACCCCUGUCAUUUGCGAACAAAUUGUUUCACCUAACACGUGAAGCAUUGAUAGUAGCGGAAGAGGAAGGGACGGCUAACUCUGUGCCAGCAGCCGCGGUAAUACAGAGGUCCCAAGCGUUGUUCGGAUUCACUGGGCGUAAAGGGUGCGUAGGUGGUCGGGUAAGUCUGUUGUGAAAUCUCCGAGCUUAACUCGGAAAUGGCAGUGGAUACUAUCCGGCUUGAGGAAUGGAGGGGAGACUGGAAUACUUGGUGUAGCAGUGAAAUGCGUAGAUAUCAAGUGGAACACCAGUGGCGAAGGCGAGUCUCUGGACAUUUCCUGACGCUGAGGCACGAAAGCCAGGGGAGCAAACGGGAUUAGAUACCCCUGUAGUC
rnacentral:rRNA from 1 species